GACGAACGCUGGCGGCGGGCUUAACACAUGCAAGUCGAACGGAAAGGCCCUGCUUUUGUGGGGUUCUCGAGGGGCGAACGGGUGAGUAACACGUGAGUAACCUGCCCUUGACUUUGUGAUAACUUCAGGAAACUGGGGAUAAUACCGGAUAGGAGCUCCUGCUGCAUGGUGGGGGUUGGAAAGUUUCGGCGGUUGGGGAUGGACUCGCGGCUUAUCAGCUUGUUGGUGGGGUAGUGGCUUACCAAGGCUUUGACGGGUAGCCGGCAUGAGAGGGGGACCGGGCACAUGGGGACUGAGAUACGGCCCAGAGUCGUACGGGAGGCAGAGGUGGGGAAUAUUGCACAAUGGGGCGAAGCCUGAUGCAGCAGCGCCGCGUGAGGGAUGACGGCCUUCGGGUUGUAAACCGCUUUCGCCUGUGACGAAGCGUGAGUGACGGUAAUGGGUGAAGAAGCACCGGCUAACUACGUG
rnacentral:rRNA from 1 species